CUUGGUUUGAGCUCAAAUAAAUGCGGGGAUGCCUCGGCUCGGAGCAGUCGGCCUCCUCCCUCCGCGAGCUGGACGCUCCGCAGCCCGCCCGCCAGCCGGCCCGCCGGCCGCCGCAGGAAUCCCUGGAUAAAGACCAGCUCAACCAUCGCUGAGAAAACAGACCUAGGCUUCCCAGGGCGGUUAACCCGCCGGCCUCUGGGCAGAGACUAAAAGACAAAACAAAAUAAAACAACAACAAAAAACUCCCAGUGUGUUUCCUACUCUUCUUUGUCUUGGAGGAAAGCAAAGGGAGAGAAAUGGACUUCACCAGUGGUCUUUGGCUUCAUCAAUUCACAGGAAAUGGCAUCAAGAUGGUUCAACUAAGACAUGAUCACUAAAAACAUUAUAAUAAUACCUUUUUGAAAAACUCAGUUUCUCCUGUUUACUAAAUAUUUAUUUCAUCAACAUGGGCUGCGUUCCACUGUGUCAGGAUUCUGCAUGUGGGUGGAGCACUGUUCCAGCCUGAGAAGAUGGUUCUGAGGCCACUUAGCAAGACAUUUUCCAGCAUGAGCAGGUUUCUCUGUGGAAAUAGUGACACCUGUUCUGGUGUGUUGUCUUUCCUCAGGGAACUUAAGGGGUACAAAGCUCCUGAAAAUGUUCUUUAUGCUGGUUGAAGCUCUUAUGUCGCUGUACUGAUUCCCUACGAUGCAGAUUUGAAUCACAGAGUAAUUAAAAUAUGGAUCAAAUAAGGCUGGGGCUCACCAAGGCUGAAAGCUGUAGCCAUUCAAGGCAUCAUUUCUGUCAUGAAAAUAUAGGACCUUUUCAAAACAUGCCUUCAGGAAGGUGUUCUCUUUUCAAACAAAAGUCUAAUGACUGCAUAACUCUUCUUGACCACAUCUUACACUUUCUCUAGACUUGCUUAUUUACAGCUACUGGAACAAAAAGAUGAAAUGAAUAAAGCACACUGAUUGUCCUAAGAGUCUUCUGUGACUAAAAGCACAUGAGCUUCUCCCCAGGCUGAGCUUUGACCCUCCCAAGCAUUUCCCCAAAGGCCAUGACACUGCAUCAGAUUGCUCCUGGACACUUUCCUCAGAGUUUUCAACAAAUAUAAACUGAGGAGUGGAGCACAGCACCAGAUUUGCUAAUCAAGAGGCAAUGGUCCCAGUCCAAAUGGGUGCUGUGUGUGAAUACAGAGCCCAGGAGAAGGGAAGGAGGUCUGUGAACAUCAGGAAUUGCAAAAUCUUGCUGAACCAAUAGACCAACAGCCAUUAACAUUUGUCAAUGCAAAGAUCCUAAAAUAUACAAGUGUGGAGUUGUCCUGCCCUAAGAGCUGAAGCUGUGACAAUCACGCUGCCAUGAAUCCUAAUGAAUAGAGGUUGCUGGACUCAGGGUAAAAGCAGGAUGAACUGGAGAUGGGACAUACAAGGUACUUUUGGAAUUGCCAUAGAUUACACCUAUAAUCAGAGUAAAUGUCAUCAACAAAUAAUCAAAAUAUUUUUUACAUUUGCUCUUCUAAAAUCAGAGCCUAUUUUAAAUAUAAAAGAAAGUAGAUGUGAUAAUAAUAUAAACUACAGUCACAUUAAGUUGAUAUUAAAUUCAAAAUCUAACAUAGAUUUGCACUGUUGGGUGUGUGUUCCGAAUCAGUGGGUUUUCCCACUGAUGUUGAUUUCGGGAGCCAGGCUUCAAUGUUUAAUUCUAUUGUAAUGUGGUUAUUUAGCCUGAAUGGUUUUAUAAGGUGGAAAGGCAAAAAAUUUAAUUCCGAAGAAAACUAGUGUUUUACUAUGACUGUGGUAAACAUUUCCAAAGCCCACCUGUGGGAAAUACAAAGUUUUAAUGCUGUGUGUUUUUUUGUUUUUGUAUUUUGUCUCAUCGACAAAACUGGCAGAAAAAAACGCUUUCGUAUAUUUUUCCUGCUGGGUGGUCAGAAGGAAAGGCCGUGAAGCUAAAGGUCUCCCACUGAGACGCUGUUCUGCAAGGAGCCGACCUCACGUGCCGCCGCCGCCAGAGAAGAGAGCACCUGUUCAUCUCGGCUCACUGUGAGGCUGAGCUCAGCGCUGGCAGGCGAGGGGCCGCAAGCAUCCCCCACAGCCACCGAGAGGGCAUCCCUGCAGGGAAAUCAUAUCCGACAUGCCUGUGCCCACAGCAGACUUAAGACUGCCUCUAAAAUGUCCAUGAAGCCAUUGUCCAGUAGAGCUGUUAGUUUUAACACCAGUGAGUAUUACCUUUGGUUAAAAGGAUGCAUGUGUAUAGGUGUAUGUGUGUGCGUGUGUGUUUGUGUUUUUGGACUUGUGUGGAGAAUGAAGAAAGGGUUCCAUUUAGGCAUUUGCAAAUAUUCGAUGGCAUCAUGAAAAGACAAAAAAAUCCUAUAAAAUAUAUCAUAUUUUGCUAUGAUUUUGUGUGUACAUGUAAUAAAAUUAUUAAGUAUAAA
rnacentral:lncRNA from 1 species